rnacentral:rRNA from 1 species
UACGUAGGGUGCAAGCGUUAAUCGGAAUUACUGGGCGUAAAGCGUACGCAGGCGGCUUUGCAAGACAGGUGUGAAAUCCCCGGGCCUAACCUGGGAACUGCAUUUGUGACUGCAUGGCUAGAGUUUGUCAGAGGGGGGUGGAAUUCCACGUGUAGCAGUGAAAUGCGUAGAUAUGUGGAGGAACACCGAUGGCGAAGGCAGCCCCCUGGGAUUUGACUGACGCUCAUGUACGAAAGCGUGGGGAGCAAACAGG